UCUUUGGUGGUUCAGUGGUUAAGAUUCUGUGCUCCCAAGGCAGGGGGUACAGGUUUGAUUCCUGAUCAGGGAA
rnacentral:tRNA from 1 species